AAAUUACUCCCUCCGUCCGGAAAUACUUGUUGGAGAAAUGAAUGUAUUUAGAUGUAUUUUAGUUUUAGAUACACCUAUUUUUAUUCAUUUUCACGACAAGUAAUUCCGGACGGAGGGAGUACAAG
rnacentral:pre_miRNA from 1 species